rnacentral:rRNA from 1 species
GUGGGGAAUAUUGGACAAUGGGCGAAAGCCUGAUCCAGCCAUGCCGCGUGUGUGAAGAAGGUCUUCGGAUUGUAAAGCACUUUAAGUUGGGAGGAAGGGCAUUAACCUAAUACGUUAGUGUUUUGACGUUACCGACAGAAUAAGCACCGGCUAACUUCGUGCCAGCAGCCGCGGUAAUACGAAGGGUGCAAGCGUUAAUCGGAAUUACUGGGCGUAAAGCGCGCGUAGGUGGUUUUGUAAGUUGGAGGUGAAAUCCCCGGGCUCAACCUGGGAACUGCCUCAAAAACUGCAUGACUAGAGUACGGUAGAGGGUAGUGGAAUUUCCUGUGUAGCGGUGAAAUGCGUAGAUAUAGGAAGGAACACCAGUGGCGAAGGCGACUACCUGGACUGAUACUGACACUGAGGUGCGAAAGCGUGGGGAGCAAACAGGAUUAGAUACCCGGGUAGUCC